rnacentral:rRNA from 1 species
AUUGAACGCUGGCGGCAGGCCUAACACAUGCAAGUCGAGCGGAUGAAGGGAGCUUGCUCCUGGAUUCAGCGGCGGACGGGUGAGUAAUGCCUAGGAAUCUGCCUGGUAGUGGGGGAUAACGUCCGGAAACGGGCGCUAAUACCGCAUACGUCCUGAGGGAGAAAGUGGGGGAUCUUCGGACCUCACGCUAUCAGAUGAGCCUAGGGCGGAUUAGCUAGUUGGUGGGGUAAAGGCCUACCAAGGCGGGGAUCGGUAACUGGUCUGAGAGGAUGAUCAGUCACACUGGAACUGAGACACGGUCCAGACUCCUACGGGAGGCAGCAGUGGGGAAUAUUGGACAAUGGGCGAAAGCCUGAUCCAGCCAUGCCGCGUGUGUGAAGAAGGUCUUCGGAUUGUAAAGCACUUUAAGUUGGGAGGAAGGGCAGUAAGUUAAUACCUUGCUGUUUUGACGUUACCAACAGAAUAAGCACCGGCUAACUUCGUG